UAGUGCAAUGGCAUAAGCCCGCUUGACUGCGAGAAUGACAAUUCGAGCAGGUACGAAAGUAGGUCAUAGUGAUCCGGUGGUUCUGAAUGGAAGGGCCAUCGCUCAACGGAUAAAAGGUACUCCGGGGAUAACAGGCUGAUACCGCCCAAGAGUUCAUAUCGACGGCGGUGUUUGGCACCUCGAUGUCGGCUCAUCACAUCCUGGGGCUGAAGUCGGUCCCAAGGGUAUGGCUGUUCGCCAUUUAAAGUGGUACGCGAGCUGGGUUUAGAACGUCGUGAGACAGUUCGGUCCCUAUCUGCCGUGGGCGUUGGAUGAUUGAGAGGGGCUGCUCCUAGUACGAGAGGACCGGAGUGGACGAACCUCUGGUGUUCGGGUUGUCACGCCAGUGGCAUUGCCCGGUAGCUAAGUUCGGAAUUGAUAAGCG
rnacentral:rRNA from 1 species